UGUCUAAUUUAUAACUAAACGUUAUCAUAAGUAUGCAUAUAUAGGAAAAAAGUAUGCAUAUACAGUGUAUAUAGGGUUCAGUACUAUCCAUGCUUUCAGGAAUCCACUGAAGGUUUGGAAUAUAUUUCCCAUGAAAACAGGGGAUUACUGUAUUUCCACUUUUCUUACACUUUGAUCAAACAAUUGGGAAUCAAUCCUCAAAGCCUAUCUCUGGGAAGUAAGUUAAUAUCUUAUA